GGUCGGGUGGCCGAGUGGUUAGGCAAGUGUCCGCAAGACGCUAUACAGUAGUUCAAAUCUGCUCUCGACCU
rnacentral:tRNA from 1 species